CGCUCCGGCGUAUUCCAUUACUCGCAUAAUGGAUGCCAGGCGCCGUGGUAGGGGCUUCCAGUUUUUGGUGGAUUGGGCGGGGUACGGUCCGGAAGAGCGUUCCUGGGUGCCGCGGUCUGCGAUCCUCGACCCUGGUAUGGUGUGCGAGUUCCGCCGUCGGCACCCUGACAAGUUUCGUGGGUCGCCCGGGGGCUCCCGUUAGAGGGGGGGUACUGUCGUGGUCGGACGGUCCUUCCCGGAGCGACCUGUGUGUGUGUGUAUGUGUGUGCUUCUCUCUCUCUCCUCCUCCACCCAGUGGCUGACACACCUGCACCUAAUUUGCCAUCCAGCUGUCACUGAUCAUCCUCGUCAUGGACUGAGGUACUUAACUAGGUGUCUGGAUGGCAGUCGACGCUGGAUUGUACUGGAGGCUCGGAGGAAGCAAUACGGAGCAGAAGGUUGGAGAGAAGGAGUCCGCUGGAUUAAGCCCUCGGAGGAGAAACACACUCAGAUAAUCACUUGGGAGACUCACCUGCACACCCCUGGGAGAUUGGAGAGGAUCACCGUGGAUUUUUGUAUUUCGCUUUGUGACUGUUCUGAGCACUGUAAAUAAACGCACUGUUUGCUUCGCAUCCAGAGCUCCGCGACUGAGUCUGUAUUUCCCCCAUUACCCGUGACA